rnacentral:rRNA from 1 species
CGGAGCUUGCUCCACCGGAAAAAGAAGAGUGGCGAACGGGUGAGUAACACGUGGGUAACCUGCCCAUCAGAAGGGGAUAACACUUGGAAACAGGUGCUAAUACCGUAUAACAAUCGAAACCGCAUGGUUUUGAUUUGAAAGGCGCUUUCGGGUGUCGCUGAUGGAUGGACCCGCGGUGCAUUAGCUAGUUGGUGAGGUAACGGCUCACCAAGGCCACGAUGCAUAGCCGACCUGAGAGGGUGAUCGGCCACAUUGGGACUGAGACACGGCCCAAACUCCUACGGGAGGCACCAGUAGGGAAUCUUCGGCAAUGGACGAAAGUCUGACCGAGCAACCCCGCGUGAAUGAAGAAGGUUUUCGGAUCGUAAAACUCUGUUGUUAGAGAAGAACAAGGAUGAGAGUAACUGUUCAUCCCUUGACGGUAUCUAACCAGAAAGCCACGGCUAACUACGUGCCAGCAGCCGCGGUAAUACGUAGGUGGCAAGCGUUGUCCGGAUUUAUUGGGCGUAAAGCGAGCGCAGGCGGUUUCUUAAGUCUGAUGUGAAAGCCCCCGGCUCAACCGGGGAGGGUCAUUGGAAACUGGGAGACUUGAGUGCAGAAGAGGAGAGUGGAAUUCCAUGUGUAGCGGUGAAAUGCGUAGAUAUAUGGAGGAACACCAGUGGCGAAGGCGGCUCUCUGGUCUGUAACUGACGCUGAGGCUCGAAAGCGUGGGGAGCAAACAGGAUUAGAUACCCUGGUAGUCCACGCCGUAAACGAUGAGUGCUAAGUGUUGGAGGGUUUCCGCCCUUCAGUGCUGCAGCUAACGCAUUAAGCACUCCGCCUGGGGAGUACGACCGCAAGGUUGAAACUCAAAGGAAUUGACGGGGGCCCGCACAAGCGGUGGAGCAUGUGGUUUAAUUCGAAGCAACGCGAAGAACCUUACCAGGUCUUGACAUCCUUUGACCACUCUAGAAAAUAGAGCUUCCCCUUUCGGGGGCAAAGUGACAGGUGGGUGCAUGGGUUGUCCUCAACCUCCGUGUCGUGAAAAUGUUGGGGUUAAGUCCCCGCAACGAACGGCAACCCCUUAUUGGUAAGUUGGCCAUCAUUUAAGUUGGGGCACUCCUAGCAAAAACUGGCCGGUGACAAACCCGGAAGGAAAGGUGGGGAUGACGUCAAAUCAUCAUGCCCCUUAUGACCUGGGCUACACACGUGCUACAAUGGGAAGUACAACGAGUCGCGAAGUCGCGAGGCUAAGCUAAUCUCUUAAAGCUUCUCUCAGUUCGGAUUGUAGGCUGCAACUCGCCUACAUGAAGCCGGAAUCGCUAGUAAUCGCGGAUCAGCACGCCGCGGUGAAUACGUUCCCGGGCCUUGUACACACCGCCCGUCACACCACGAGAGUUUGUAACACCCGAUG